UGGGGAAUUUUGGACAAUGGGCGAAAGCCUGAUCCAGCAAUGCCGCGUGUGUGAAGAAGGCCUUCGGGUUGUAAAGCACUUUUGUCCGGAAAGAAAUCCUUGGCUCUAAUACAGUCGGGGGAUGACGGUACCGGAAGAAUAAGCACCGGCUAACUACGUGCCAGCAGCCGCGGUAAUACGUAGGGUGCAAGCGUUAAUCGGAAUUACUGGGCGUAAAGCGUGCGCAGGCGGUUUGCUAAGACCGAUGUGAAAUCCCCGGGCUCAACCUGGGAACUGCAUUGGUGACUGGCAGGCUAGAGUAUGGCAGAGGGGGGUAGAAUUCCACGUGUAGCAGUGGAAUGCGUAGAGAUGUGGAGGAAUACCGAUGGCGAAGGCAGCCCCCUGGGCCAAUACUGACGCUCAUGCACGAAAGCGUGGGGAGCAAAACAGGAUUAGAUACCCUGGUAGUCCACGCCCUAAACGAUGUCAACUAGUUGUUGGGGAUUCAUUUCCUUAGUAACGUAGCUAACGCGUGAAGUUGACCGCCUGGGGAGUACGGUCGCAAGAUUAAAACUCAAAUGAAUUGACGGGGUCAUAGCUGUUU
rnacentral:rRNA from 1 species